UACGUAGGUGGCAAGCGUUGUCCGGAAUCAUUGGGCGUAAAGCGCGUGUAGGCGGUCCGGUAAGUCCGCUGUGAAAGUCGAGGGCUCAACCCUCGAAUGCCGGUGGAUACUGUCGGGCUAGAGUGCGGAAGAGGCGAGUGGAAUUCCUGGUGUAGCGGUGAAAUGCGCAGAUAUCAGGAGGAACACCUAUUGCGAAGGCAGCUCGCUGGGACGUUACUGACGCUGAGACGCGAAAGCGUGGGGAGCAAACAGG
rnacentral:rRNA from 1 species